rnacentral:rRNA from 1 species
AAUAGAUACCCUGGUAGUCCAUGCCGUAAACGUUGGGAACUAGAUGUAGGGCCUGUUCCACGGGUUCUGUGUCGUAGCUAACGCAUUAAGUUCCCCGCCUGGGGAGUACGGCCGCAAGGCUAAAACUCAAAGGAAUUGACGGGGGCCCGCACAAGCGGCGGAGCAUGCGGAUUAAUUCGAUGCAACGCGAAGAACCUUACCAAGGCUUGACAUACACCAGAACAUCCCAGAAAUGGGAGACUCUUUGGACACUGGUGUACAGGUGGUGCAUGGUUGUCGUCAGCUCGUGUCGUGAGAUGUUCGGUUAAGUCCGGCAACGAGCGCAACCCUCGUCCUAUGUUGCCAGCGGGUUAUGCCGGGGACUCAUGGGAUACUGCCGUGGUCAACACGGAGGAAGUGGGGAUGACGUCAAAUCAUCAUGCCCCUUAUGUCUUGGGCUUCACGCAUGCUACAAUGGCCGGUACAGAGGGUUNCGAUGUCGUAAGGCGGAGCGAAUCCCAAAAAGCCGGUCUCAGUUCGGAUUGGGGUCUGCAACUCCG